rnacentral:piRNA from 1 species
UGAUUUCUUUAUAGAGGUCCAGCAUCUGCCC